GAUUAAAAGAGUCUUAAAUUUUUUUUUGUUGUUAUUAUUUUUUUUUAUAAUAAAAGUAAUUUUAUUUUUUCCUAUUUUUAGUAUAGUUUAUAGAAAAAAAUUUAUUUUUUAUAAUUUAUUUUUACUGUGAAGGUUGGUUGAAAUAUUUUGAAAGAAAUUUUAUUUAAAAAGUUUAUUUAUUUAAUAGUACCUUUUGUAUCAGGGUUUAUUAAAAAUUUAUUAUUUAUUUUAAUAUUCUCGAUUUAAAUAAGAGCUAAUAUAUUAUUAUAGUUAACGUUGUAUAGUUAUUAUAUAUAAUAUAUUUGUAAUGAAAUGUUAUUCGUUUUUUAAGAUAUCUAGUUUUUCAAGAUUUAAAUUUAAUUUAUUUAUUUAAAAGUAAAUUUAUUAAUUUAAUAUUAAUUUAUUUUUAAAUAAAAAUGUUUUGGGGGAUAAGCUCCUAAUUAUUUUUAUAUAAAAUUUUAUUAUAAGUUAUAUUGGUUGUAGACUUUAAAUUAGUUUUCAUUUUGAGUUUGUUAUAAAUUUACAUAUAUUUAACUUAAAAUUUUAUAAUUUUUUUAUAUUUUAUAUUGAUAUUAAUCUAUUAAUUUUUUAUAGAUUGUAAUAAUGAUUAAAUUAGUAUAAUUUUGUGUAUAGUGUUUAUAUUUAUUAUUAAUUUAUUAUAAGGAAUUAGGCAAAAAAUUAAUUAUUAAUGCCCGCCUGUUUAUCAAAAACAUGGUUUUUCGAUAAAUAAUUUAAGAUUUGACCUGCCCACUGAUUAUGAAUAAUUGAAGGGCCGCGGUAUUUUGACCGUGCAAAGGUAGCAUAAUCAUUAGUCCUUUAAUUGUGGACUGGAAUGAAUGGUUUGACGAGGUAUUAACUGUCUCAUAUUAAUAAUUAGAAUUUAACUUUUAAGUUAAAAGGCUUAAAUAAUUUUAUAGGACGAGAAGACCCUAUAGAGCUUAAUAAUUAUUUAAUUUAUAUAUUUUUGGUUAUUUAUUUAUUUAUAAAUUGAUUAAUUAUUUUAUUGGGGUGAUAUAAAGAAUAGUAAAACUCUUUAUUUUUAAAAACAUUAGUUUAUGAUUAGUUGAUCCAUUAUUAGUGAUUAUAAGAUUAAGUUACCUUAGGGAUAACAGCGUUAUUUUUUUUGAGAGUUCUUAUCAACAAUAAAGAUUGCGACCUCGAUGUUGGAUUAAGGUAAAUAUUAGGUGUAGAAGUUUAAUAAUAAGGUCUGUUCGACCAUUAAAUCCUUACAUGAUCUGAGUUCAGACCGGUGUGAGCCAGGUCGGUUUCUAUCCUUAAUUAAUUAAAAUAUUUUAGUACGAAAGGACCAGAUAUUUAGAAUAAUUUUAAAUUAUUUGAAUAGUAUUAAAUUUAUUUA
rnacentral:rRNA from 1 species